rnacentral:sRNA from 1 species
AAAACUUUCAAGGAAAAAAGCAUACAAAAUAAGGAAAGGGUAUCAAGUUCAAGUACCCUUAUAGGGGCUCUCGUAAGGGGUAUGCCCGCAUAGAACAAGAUAUGAGUAUCCAGAUCGUGUUAGGGGAAUGGGAUUUGGAGUCGGUCAUAGAGAUUAUUUUCCGUCCAAAAAGCGUCCUACGUACCAUGAGCAUGAUAAAUUAACUGCUCAAGUGAAAGACAUGUCUGAAAGAAUGGCAUGAAUGGAAAAUGAUUUGAUUUAGCUUCGAAAAAUUGGCACACCAAAUACUACUGAAGAAGCUAAUAUUGAUAGUGGCCAAGGGAGUUGCACAUUGUCAUCAAAUAGUUUUCCCGAGGGGGUCUCAAGUUGUAAAUUGUUUACAUUAUCACCAUCACUUUGCUUGGUUGCCCAUGGAAAAUUGCAUAAUUUUAAAAGUGAUACACUACAUGGUAGACCUCUACCUAAGGGACAUGUCAAAGUUAGUAUAGAUAUUGCUUUAGAGCCAAAUGUAUCCUUGCCUAUAUCAAUUGAUGAUGAUGACAUGAUGACAAUAGGACAAGCAAUAGGUACAUUUGUGGCAUGGCCAAUGAAUUUCAUACAGAUUAGUGAUGAG